rnacentral:rRNA from 1 species
UACGAGAGGCCCAAACGUUAUUCGGAAUUACUGGGCUUAAAGAGUUCGUAGGCGGCAUUGCAAGUAGGGUGUGAAAGCCCUCGGCUCAACCGAGGAAUUGCGCUCUAAACUGCAGUGCUUGAGGAACCUAGAGGUGAGCAGAACAGAUGGUGGAGCGGUGAAAUGCGUUGAUAUCAUCUGGAAUACCGGAGGCGAAGGCGGCUCACUGGGUCUUUUCUGACGCUGAGGGACGAAAGCUAGGGGAGCGAACGGG